AGAAAAUUUGUUUUGAAAACUUGCGUAUCUUGUGAUUUGCAUAAUUUCAUCACGAGAGUUUUCCAAACACGAGAGCGUCAUGUAAAAAAUUUAAUCCUUCAAUGCACAGCUAGCUAUAUUACCUAAAACUCCAAUCAUGAGCAAUUUAUUUACAUCGAGACUUCAUCGUGUCUAUAUCAUCCAUAAAUUUACACUCAGGUAGUUUAUUUUCGUAGAGUCUUGUCUGUUUUGUUGAUUAAGUCAGUUGGCCAAGCUGUUUUUACCUUUAUGUUGUAGCAAGGACGAAAUGAAUUCUUUGAAGUACAUUAUGCUUUUUUUGGCAUUUGUCCUCUGUGCGAAAACAUCGCCUGUCGAUUUCUUUCAAGAUGUCGAAAAACCAAGUAAAACAUUAAUGAGAUGCACGUGUGCUAAUGGAAAACUGGUGUUCAACGAUUUCUUCAUUGCUUUGCUGGUGAGAGAGACUGUGAUAUGGUACUUUUCACAAGUUUUAGAUGCUGCAUCAGAUAAUAAUUCUACCAUAAACAAUACAAUAGAUUUUUAUGAAACUGAAUUUGAAUAUUAUUUACUGAUCGGGUAAAAAUUAAAUUAUAACUAUGAUAUAGUUUUUGAAUUCUAAAAA